rnacentral:tRNA from 1 species
GGAGGGGUGGCAGAGUGGUUUAAUGCACCGGUCUUGAAAACCGGCGUGGGUUUACCCCCACCCAGGGUUCAAAUCCCUGCUCCUCCG